ACAGCUGGUUCUCCUUUAACUGUGAUCAUCACUGCGGCUGUCCUUGUUGCUCUCCUGCUACUUGUGGUUAUUGUGGUUUUCACCUACAAAUGUUUUUCAUGGUCAAAACACAGAAAAAAUGGAGAAGCACAGAACAAAGAAGAUAAUAUCUAUGACGCAAUACAAGAGUCUUCCCAGAAGUCCGACUCAAGACCUGCAAUGAAAACAGUUUAUGCCACUGCCAACUUCCCCACAAACCCAUCUCUCUUCAUGCAUGAGUUUAAAGUCAACGUUAAAAACAUCUCUGGUGAGGCUGAUUCUGGUACAUAUUUUAAUCUGUGGAAACCAGGCCAGCGUGAUACGAAGUCUACAGCCAAUCAUAUACCCAGAGUUUCCACUGACCCUUUCUACUCUCUGUUGUUGCCAUGCUACUGCGGCACUGAGGCAGGUUAAGUCCUGACUGCUCCUCUGUUUACUGCUUACUUUCUCAUGUGGGGGCAGGUAUGUUUGAAUAGCUAUUUAAUUUUGAUGAUCUAGGAAAUUUCAAAGCAUGUGGGUUCGUUUCCUUGAUGCAUUUCAAAAUGUAUAAGAAUUUUUCAGGUGCUUUCACCUCAUGUCAGGUGUGGAAAUAGAGUGUACAGAUCUGGGGCGGUGACCUGGGUGGGAAUGAAUGGGAUUAUUUUGCUGGGCCUAAAUGUUAUUUGUGUUUAUAUUUUUUUUCUUUAUUUCACUUUUAAAUUUUUUUUUUUAACAGCCUUAAGUGUGUGGGCCCAUUACCCCGAAUGUACAACUCAUCUGUAAUCCUUCUCUUCUCUAUUUGUUUAUAUGUAUGAAGGAAAUAUUCUUAGUAAAAAGACAUUGUUUAAAAAAAUGAUGAUCUGAAAAA